GUACUCACUUUGUAGCACAUUUACUGAUAUUGGAACAAUACAGAGAAGAUUAGCAAUGGCCCUGCGCAAGGAUGACACGCAACUUCCUGAGGCAUUGGCUGUGUUU